ACUCAAAUGAAUUGACGGGGACCCGCACAAGUAGCGGAGCAUGUGGUUUAAUUCGAAGCAACGCGAAGAACCUUACCUAAGCUUGACAUCCUUUUGACCUCUCCCUAAUCGGAGAUUUCCCUUCGGGGACAGAAGUGACAGGUGGUGCAUGGUUGUCGUCAGCUCGUGUCGUGAGAUGUUGGGUUAAGUCCCGCAACGAGCGCAACCCUUGCCUUUAGUUGCCAGCAUUAAGUUGGGCACUCUAGAGGGACUGCCAGGGAUAACCUGGAGGAAGGUGGGGAUGACGUCAAAUCAUCAUGCCCCUUAUGCUUAGGGCUACACACGUGCUACAAUGGGUGGUACAGAGGGCAGCCAAGUCGUGAGGCGGAGCUAAUCCCUUAAAGCCAUUCUCAGUUCGGAUUGUAGGCUGAAACUCGCCUACAUGAAGCUGGAGUUACUAGUAAUCGCAGAUCAGAAUGCUGCGGUGAAUGCGUUCCCGGGUCUUGUACACACCGCCCGU
rnacentral:rRNA from 1 species